rnacentral:rRNA from 1 species
CGUAAACAGAGGGAAGCGAGCCCGCGAGGGGGAGGCAAAUCCCAAAAAUAAACGUCCCAGUUCGGAUUGUAGUCUGCAACCCGACUACAUGAAGCCGGAAUCGCUAGUAAUCGCGGAUCAGAAUGCCGCGGUGAAUACGUUCCCGGGUCUUGUACACACCGCCCGUCACACCAUGGGAGUCGGAAAUGCCCGAAGUCUGUGACCCAACCUACGGGAGGGAGCAGCCGAAGGCAGGUCGGAUGACUGGGGUGAAGUCGUAACAAGGUACC